UGGGGAAUAUUGGACAAUGGGCGCAAGCCUGAUCCAGCCAUGCCGCGUGAGUGAUGAAGGCCCUAGGGUUGUAAAGCUCUUUCAACGGUGAAGAUAAUGACGGUAACCGUAGAAGAAGCCCCGGCUAACUUCGUGUCAGCAGCCGCGGUAAUACGAAGGGGGCUAGCGUUGUUCGGAAUUACUGGGCGUAAAGCGCACGUAGGCGGAUUGUUAAGUUAGGGGUGAAAUCCCAGGGCUCAACCCUGGAACUGCCUUUAAUACUGGCAAUCUAGAGUCCGAGAGAGGUGAGUGGAAUUCCGAGUGUAGAGGUGAAAUUCGUAGAUAUUCGGAGGAACACCAGUGGCGAAGGCGGCUCACUGGCUCGGUACUGACGCUGAGGUGCGAAAGCGUGGGGAGCAAACA
rnacentral:rRNA from 1 species